rnacentral:rRNA from 1 species
AGUGAACGCUGGCGGUAGGCCUAACACAUGCAAGUCGAACGGCAGCACAGGAGAGCUUGCUCUCUGGGUGGCGAGUGGCGGACGGGUGAGGAAUACAUCGGAAUCUACUCUGUCGUGGGGGAUAACGUAGGGAAACUUACGCUAAUACCGCAUACGACCUACGGGUGAAAGCAGGGGACCUUCGGGCCUUGCGCGAUUGAAUGAGCCGAUGUCGGAUUAGCUAGUUGGCGGGGUAAAGGCCCACCAAGGCGACGAUCUGUAGCUGGUCUGAGAGGAUGAGCAGCCACACUGGAAAUGAGACACGGUCCAGACUCCUACGGGAGGCAGCAGUGGGGAAUAUUGGACAAUGGGCGCAAGCCUGAUCCAGCCAUACCGCGUGGGUGAAGAAGGCCUUCGGGUUGUAAAGCCCUUUUGUUGGGAAAGAAAUCCAGCUGGCUAAUACCCGGUUGGGAUGACGGUACCCAAAGAAUAAGCACCGGCUAACUUCGUGCCAGCCGCCGCUGUAA